GGGGGUAUAGCUCAGCUGGGAGAGCGCUUGAAUGGCAUUCAAGAGGUCAUCGGUUCGAUCCCGAUUAUCUCCACCA
rnacentral:tRNA from 1 species